rnacentral:rRNA from 1 species
GAUGAACGCUGGCGGCGUGCCUAAUACAUGCAAGUCGAGCGAAGCGGGGACGGGUGAGUAACACGUGGAUAACCUCCUAUAAGACUGGGAUAACUUCGGGAAACCGGAGCUAAACCGGAUUAUUUUAGCUGGAUCCGCGCUGCAUUAGCUAGUUGGUAAGGUAACGGCUUACCAAGGCAACGAUGCAUAGCCGACCGAAGAGGGUGAGCGGCCCAACUGGAACUGAGACACGGUCCAGACUCCUACGGGAGGCAGCAGUAGGGAAUCUUCCGCAGUGGGCGAAAGCCUGACGGAGCAACGCGGCGUGAGUGAUGAAGGUCUUCGGGUCGUAAAACUCUGUUAUUAGGGAAGCGGUACCUAAUCAGAAAGCCACGGCUAACUACGUGCCAGCAGCCGCGGUAAUAC